GGGUUGUUAGCUCAGUUGGUAGAAGCAGUGGACUCUUAAUCCAAAGGUCAAGGGUUCAACCCCCUUACAACCCA
rnacentral:tRNA from 1 species